rnacentral:tRNA from 1 species
AUUUAUCUAAUAUAUUAAGUAUACUUGACUUCCAAUCAAGAAGUUUGUAAUUACACAAGAUAAAUA